rnacentral:rRNA from 1 species
UGGGGAAUUUUGCACAAUGGGAGAAAUCCUGAUGCAGCAACGCCGCGUGAGUGAAGAAGGCCUUUGGGUUGUAAAGCUCUUUCAGCCGGGAAAAAGGGUAAUCGUGCUAAUACCACGAUUGCUUGAUGGUACCGGAAGAAGAAGCACCUGCUAACUACGUGCCAGUAGCAGCGGUAAUACGUAGGGUGCAAGCGUUGUUCGGAAUUAUUGGGCGUAAAGGGCGCGUAGGCGGGCUUUCAAGUCGUCUGUGAAAUCCCUGGGCUUAACCCAGGAACUGCAGACGAUACUGUUAGUCUUGAAUGCUUGAGAGGGUGGCGGAAUUCCAGGUGUAGAAGUGAAAUUCGUAGAUAUCUGGAGGAACAUCGGCGGCGAAGGCGGCCACCUGGCAAGACAUUGACGCUAAAGCGCGAAAGUGCGGGGAUCAAACAG